GCGUGAGUGAAGAAGGCCUUAGGGUUGUAAAGCUCUUUCACCGGUGAAGAUAAUGACGGUAGCCGGAGAAGAAGCCCCGGCUAACUCCGUGCCAGCAGCCGCGGUAAUACGGAGGGGGCUAGCGUUGUUCGGAAUUACUGGGCGUAAAGCGCGCGUAGGCGGCGUGCCAAGUUGGGCGUGAAAGCCCGGGGCUCAACCCCGGAUGUGCGCCCAAAACUGGCAUGCUCGAGUACGGGAGAGGGUGGUGGAAUUCCCAGUGUAGAGGUGAAAUUCGU
rnacentral:rRNA from 1 species